AACGCACAUUGCGCCCCUUGGUAUUCCGAGGGGCAUGCCUGUUCGAGCGUCAUUACAACCCUCAAGCACUGCUUGGUAUUGGGCUCCGCUGCUAACCCUGCGGGCCUUAAAAUCAGUGGCGGCGCCGUCUGGGCUCUGAGCGUAGUAAAUUUCCUCGCUAUAGAGACCUGGCGGUGGUAGCCAUCAACCCCCAACUUUCUAAGUUUGACCUCGGAUCAGGUAGGGAUACCCGCUGAACUUAA
rnacentral:misc_RNA from 1 species